rnacentral:rRNA from 1 species
CCCUUAGAUGUCCUGGGCCGCACGCGCACUACACUGACCAGUGCAACAAGCAUCCGUCCUUGGCCGACAGGCCCGGGCAAUCUUUGAACGCUGGUCGUGAUGGGGAUAGACUUUUGCAAUUUUUGGUCUUCAACGAGGAAUUCCUAGUAAACGCAAGUCAUCAACUUGCAUUGAUUACGUCCCUGCCCUUUGUACACACCGCCCGUCGCACCUACCGAUUGAAUGGUCCGGUGAAGCCUCCGGAUUGGCGCGCACCUCGGUGCCGCCGAGAAGUUGGCUAAACCUUACCAUUUAGAGGAAGGUGAAGUCGUAACA